rnacentral:pre_miRNA from 1 species
CGAAAGUGCAUUGUAGUUGCAUUGCACUUGUUAUAUAGUCUGUGCAAUAUCACUACAAGGCAAUUGUCG